rnacentral:snRNA from 1 species
ACAGCAUAUUAAAAAGCAGAGACAUCAAGUGUAGUAUCUGUUCUAAUCAGUUUAAUAUCUGAUACGUCCUCUAUCCGAGGACAAUAUAUUAAAUGGAUUUUUGGAAUUAGGAGUUGGAAUAGGAGCUUGCUCCGUCCACUCCAAAAAAAAAAA